rnacentral:rRNA from 1 species
GGGUUGUGAGGUUAAGCGACUAAGCGUACACGGUGGAUGCCCUGGCAGUCAGAGGCGAUGAAGGACGUGCUAAUCUGCGAUAAGCGUCGGUAAGGUGAUAUGAACCGUUAUAACCGGCGAUUUCCGAAUGGGGAAACCCAGUGUGAUUCGUCACACUAUCAUUAACUGAAUCCAUAGGUUAAUGAGGCGAACCGGGGGAACUGAAACAUCUAAGUACCCCGAGGAAAAGAAAUCAACCGAGAUUCCCCCAGUAGCGGCGAGCGGACGGGGAGCAGCCCAGAGCCUGAAUCAGUGUGUGUGUUAGUGGAAGCGUCUGGAAAGGCGUGCGAUACAGGGUGACAGCCCCGUACACAAAAAUGCACAUAUUGUGAGCUUGAUGAGUAGGGCGGGACACGUGGUAUCCUGUCUGAAUAUGGGGGGACCAUCCUCCAAGGCUAAAUACUCCUGACUGACCGAUAGUGAACCAGUACCGUGAGGGAAAGGCGAAAAGAACCCCGGCGAGGGGAGUGAAAAAGAACCUGAAACCGUGUACGUACAAGCAGUGGGAG